GACGAACGCUGGCGGCGUGCUUAACACAUGCAAGUCGAACGGAGUGCCCAUGACAGAGGUUUCGGCCAAUGGAUUGGGUUACUUAGUGGCGGACUGGUGAGUAACGCGUGAGGAACCUGGCCUUUCAGAGGGGGGACAACAGUUGGAAACGACUGCUAAUACCGCAUGACGCAUGACUGGGGCAUCCCGGACAUGCCAAAGAUUUUAUCGCUGAAAGAUGGCCUCGCGUCUGAUUAGAUAGUUGGCGGGGUAACGGCCCACCAAGUCGACGAUCAGUAGCCGGACUGAGAGGUUGACCGGCCACAUUGGGACUGAGAUACGGCCCAGACUCCUACGGGAGGCAGCAGUGGGGAAUAUUGGGCAAUGGACGCAAGUCUGACCCAGCAACGCCGCGUGAAGGAAGAAGGCUUUCGGGUUGUAAACUUCUUUUGUCAGGGAAGAGCAGAAGACGGUACCUGACGAAUAAGCCACGGCUAACUACGUG
rnacentral:rRNA from 1 species